AAGCGGAGGAAAAGAAACCAACCGGGAUUGCCCUAGUAACGGCGAGUGAAGCGGCAAGAGCUCAAAUUUGAAAGCUGGCCCCCUCGGGGUCCGCAUUGUAAUUUGCAGAGGAUGCUUCGGGAACGGCCCCCAUCUAAGUGCCCUGGAACGGGCCGUCAUAGAGGGUGAGAAUCCCGUCUGGGAUGGGGUGGCCGCGCCCGUGUGAAGCUCCUUCGACGAGUCGAGUUGUUUGGGAAUGCAGCUCUAAUUGGGUGGUAAAUUUCAUCUAAAGCUAAAUAUUGGCCGGAGACCGAUAGCGCACAAGUAGAGUGAUCGAAAGAUGAAAAGCACUUUGAAAAGAGAGUUAAACAGCACGUGAAAUUGUUGAAAGGGAAGCGCUUGCGACCAGACUCGCCCGCGGGGUUCAGCCGGCACUCGUGCCGGUGUACUUCCCCGCGGGCGGGCCAGCGUCGGUUUGGGCGGCCGGUCAAAGGCCUCUGGAAGGUAACGCCUCUCGGGGCGUCUUAUAGCCAGGGGUGCCAUGCGGCCUGCCCGGACCGAGGAACGCGCUUCGGCUCGGACGCUGGCAUAAUGGUCGUAAGCGACCCGU
rnacentral:rRNA from 1 species